rnacentral:rRNA from 1 species
GUGGGGAAUAUUGGACAAUGGGGGGAACCCUGAUCCAGCCAUGCCGCGUGUGUGAAGAAGGCCUUUUGGUUGUAAAGCACUUUAAGCGAGGAGGAGGCUACCGAGAUUAAUACUCUUGGAUAGUGGACGUUACUCGCAGAAUAAGCACCGGCUAACUCUGUGCCAGCAGCCGCGGUAAUACAGAGGGUGCAAGCGUUAAUCGGAUUUACUGGGCGUAAAGCGCGCGUAGGUGGCCAAUUAAGUCAAAUGUGAAAUCCCCGAGCUUAACUUGGGAAUUGCAUUCGAUACUGGUUGGCUAGAGUAUGGGAGAGGAUGGUAGAAUUCCAGGUGUAGCGGUGAAAUGCGUAGAGAUCUGGAGGAAUACCGAUGGCGAAGGCAGCCAUCUGGCCUAAUACUGACACUGAGGUGCGAAAGCAUGGGGAGCAAACAGGAUUAGAAACCCCAGUAGUC